UGGAUAAUGCAUCUUUUGGAGCCUGC
rnacentral:piRNA from 1 species